rnacentral:rRNA from 1 species
AUACGUAGGUGGCAAGCGUUGUCCGGGUUUAUUGGGCGUAAAGCGCGCGCAGGUGGUUCCUUAAGUCUGAUGUGACCGCCCCCGGCUCAACCGGGGAGGGUCAUUGGAAACUGGGGAACUUCAUUGCAGAAGAGGAUCGGGGAAUUCAAAGCGAAGCGGUUAAAUGCGUAGAGAUUUGGAGGAACACCAGUGGAGAAGGCGACUGUCUGGUCUGUAACUGACACUGAGGCGCGAAAGCGUGGGGAGCAAACAGGAUUAGAUCCCCUGGGAGUCCACGCCGUAAACGAUGAGUGCUAAGUGUUGGGGGGUUUCCGCCCCUCAGUGCUGCAGCUAACGCAUUAAGCACUCCGCCUGGGGAGUACGGUCGCAAGACUGAAACUCAAAUGAAUUGACGGGG